GUGAGGAACGAAAGCUGGGGGAGCGAACGGGAUUAGAUACCCCGGUAGUCCCAGCUGUAAAUAAUGCGGACUGUGGUGUUGCUUCAGAGUUAAUCUGCAGCAGUGCUGUAGCGUAGGUGUUAAGUCCGCCGCCUGGGGAGUACGGCCGCAAGGUUGAAACUUAAAGGAAUUGGCGGGGGAGCACCACAAGGGGUGGAUGCUACGGUUUAAUUGGAUACAACGCCGUGAACUUCACCAAGGGCGACGGCAGAAUGAAGGCCAGACUAAAGAUCUUGCCUAACAAGCCGAGAGGUGUUGCAUGGCCAUCGUCAGCUCGUGGCGUGAGUUGUCUGGUUAAGUCCAGCAACGAGCGAGACCCAUACCAUUAAUUGCUACUUUUACCUUUAGUAAGAGGCACCUUAAUGGGACUGCCCGCGUUAAGUGGGAGGAAGGAGUGGGCGACGGUAGGUCAGUAUGGCCCGAAUCCCUUGGGCUACACGCGGCAUACAAUGGCUGGAACAAUGGGUUGCUACUCCGAAAGGAGGCGCUAAUCCCCUAAAUCCAGUCUUAGUUCGGAUUGAGGGUUGAAACUCACCCUCAUGAAGCUGGAAUCCCUAGUAAUCGCGUGUCAUCAUCGCGCGGUGAUACGUCCCCGCUCGUUGCACUCACCGCCCGUCA
rnacentral:rRNA from 1 species